GGGGAUAUGGCGGAAUUGGUAGACGCUACAGACUUUAUUUUUUGAUAAAGAGAGAGUCCAGAAAUUUCUGAAAAUCUGUUGGUUCUUUGAACCGUGAGGGUUCAAGUCCCUCUAUCCCCA
rnacentral:tRNA from 2 species